AACGAACGCUGGCGACAGGCUUAACACAUGCAAGUCGAGCGCCCCGCAAGGGGAGCGGCAGACGGGUGAGUAACGCGUGGGAACGUACCUUUUGCUACGGAAUAACUCAGGGAAACUUGUGCUAAUACUGUAUGUGCCCUUCGGGGGAAAGAUUUAUCGGCAAAGGAUCGGCCCGCGUUGGAUUAGCUAGUUGGUGAGGUAAAGGCUCACCAAGGCGACGAUCCAUAGCUGGUCUGAGAGGAUGAUCAACCACACUGGGACUGAGACACGGCCCAGACUCCUACGGGAGGCAGCAGUGGGGAAUAGUGGACAAUGGGCGCAAGCCUGAUCCAGCCAUGCCGCGUGAGUGAUGAAGGCCCUAGGGUUGUAAAGCUCUUUCACCGGUGAAGAUAAUGACGGUAACCGGAGAAGAAGCCCCGGCUAACUUCGUGCCAGCAGCCGCAGUAA
rnacentral:rRNA from 1 species